UUUUAGGGCCGCACCCUCAACAUAUGGAGGUCCCCGGGCUAGGGAUUCAUUCGGAGCUGUAGCCGCUGGCCUACACCACAGCCACAGCAUCACGGGAUCCAAGUCAUGUCUUCGACCCACACCACAGCUCAUGGCAACACCAGAUCCUUAACCCACUAAGCGAGGGAUUGAACCCGCAUCCUCCUGGAUGCUAGUCGGGUUCAUUAACCUCUGAGUCAUGAUGGGAACUCCCCACUAUCUUCUUCAACCCUGAGUAGUAGAUACCACCGUCUGUCCUUCACAAAUGAAGUGACUGAGGCACACAGAGGUUAAGCAACAAGGCUGAGUGCUCCCAGCAAGGAUGCGGUAGGACUUCCCACCUGGAAUCAAGACUGCUCUACUUCAAGGUCAACACUCUUCCCCCAACUCUGGAUGUGCUGUGGUUACAGGGGAUCAACUUGUCAGGUGGUCUAAAAUUUCUCCCUGUAGGCCACUCCUUUGGGCUACAUUGUUACCUGUUGGAGGCCACUGUUCAAGUAAAAACCAAUUUAAGGUAACAGAACACAGACAACUAGGGAGUGAGGAGAUGGAGCCUUGGACAAAUGCAUUGCGACGGAGGAAGAAGGUUGACGGAAGGUGUGGGGGUUCAGCCAGGUAUAAUGAUUCCACAAUAGGACCAGGGUCCCAGGGGUUAAUGAGAGAGCUCUGAGACCAGAAUAUAGUGGGGGUCAAAGCAGGGAAGGAACAGCUUCGAGAAGCCUCCACUGCUUCAGGUUUGCCUUCAGCCAGGCUUCUUUGCCAGCAUCGACCUUUGGACAAUUUGGACAAUUUCAAAUCUAUGGCUACAACAUCGUUUCUCCCACUUCUAACAGGCUCUCAGAGCCACUAGCUCAGAGGUAGAAGGAAUCCUUCUCCUGAUUGGUCCAUGCCCAGCAUCCCAGAAGAAACCCUUGGGCCCUUUGCAAGCAUCAAGUGGUUUAAAUCAUCACUGCAUUCAUACAUAGCCCUCUUCCAACAUCAUCUUUUCUGCAGUAUUAAUUAUUUUUCCUUUUCUUUCAUUGAAAAAGCUUUCAACAGAGAGGCUCCUAAUUAAUUUGAGGCAAGAAUAAUUUUUCCUACAUCUCGUUGCUUUCAGUCCGUGAUUAAAAGGAGGAAUUUCAAAGUGGGUAUCUUCAAACCUCGCAUGUAAUAUUGAGUGAUUCUGCUAAAUAGCUUUUAGAUGAGCUGUUCGUGUGUUAUUUUGAUGAGAGCUGGUGAUGGUAUGAUUCCUGAUAGAAUAUUAUCGAAUGCUGGGUUCUCUUUCUGAGUAAUAGGGGUCUUUGUGCAAAGGGAAGGACUCCAGCACCUCAUUUAGUGUAUUUAGUUAUUUUUGCCAUAAUAUUGCUCAUGGCCUCAUCUCUUCUGUAAAUUCUUCACAGCUUGCCUUGGGAUGCAUUGUUUCACAUACACAUACUGGAUCUUUCCAAUGGCAUUGUAGUCUUCUUCAGAGUGAGGCUAAGCUUUUCCCUAACAUUAAAGGUUGCAUUAUCUUGAUGAAAAGUACCAACUCCAUUCUGCUAGCUUAAAUAGAAAAGAGAGAUAAUUUGAUUUUAUAUAGAAUUGUUUGUUUCAUGGCCUUCAUGGGGCACUGGCACAGAAAUGGAAAGCCAUUCUGACCCUGAGGUGGGCAUGCUGGAUCAUGCUGUGAUUCAAAUUUGGGUAUCAGUUGGCAUUUAAAGGAUUAUGAAAGCCAAGGACAUAAAUGAAAUUGCCUAGGGAGGGAGCAUAAUGUGAGGCAGGAAUGAGAGGCGGGGGUAGUUCUUGAACAGUAUCAUUUAGUGACUAGAGAGCCCCCAAAGGGACAAGGAGAAUGGCUAAGACAAAGAGAAAGAAUACCAUAGCCUACUGCAUUGGCGAAAGUGUGAUCCAAUACAGGUCAACUGUGUUCGAUCCUGCUGAGGAGUUAAGAGAAGGAAAGAUGUCUUUUAAACUUAGCUGCACAGAGACCUUAGUGAGAAACAUUUCUGUGGUGUGAUGGGGGUGGAAGCUGGGAGUGGGUGAGGUUUGAGUGUCAGAUAAAGAACCGGAGAUAGCAAAUGUGAUUGAGGCUUUCAAGGAGUUCAUGAAGGGGAGGAAAGAACAAGGGGUGAUAGAUGACAGGGACACAGAAUCUGGGAAGAUGUCUUUCCUGGUGUUGGAAUGAUUCCAUCAUAGAAAUGGAAAAAGUUCAAGAUAUGUGAUUGUAGAGAGCAUCCUCUUUAAAAAUGUACACUCCUUCCCCCACUCCCUCUACACAUGUAUACAUGCACAAGCUAUUAUGUAGCCAUCAAUGUAUGGCUUUUCUGGCAGGAAAAUUCUCCAGAUAAAAAAGUAAAAUCCAAAGCUCUUCCUUUGACACUGACAUGCCCCGCAGCUAUCAUGACUGGCCAACCAGUCACAUAAUGAUGUUCAAAUCCUUUGUCCUGUGAAGCACAGGGGUCUCCUUCCAUAGGCCCCAGUCCCCCGAUGCAAGGAUUCCUAGUGUUUAUACAGCCUUUGCCCUGUGGAAUCUGAGAGCUAAGUUCCACCAGGCUUCUAAGCCGUGUGCUUUUUGUCUCUUACAAAAUGACCCGAAGUAGUCCUGUGCAUUUUUAAACAAUAGUUUGUACCCCCUAUUCUAAGUCAGACAGACAGGCUUGAGGGAGGGGAUUGCCACUUGUCAUUGACAAGGGCAGAAUUGGGCCUAGACUCCAAGUCUUCCAAGGCAGGACAGAGCCUUCCCACAAGGCAGACUGCUGCUUCAUUCUCCUUGCCGUUGGUGACACAGAGACCUUUAUCUUGAUAAAAAGCUCAACAGGUUACUUUUCCAUAUUGCUGCCAUGCCCACCCUUUUACAGGUGAGGAAACCACGGCCCAGAGAGCGUAAAUGACUCAGCCAAGUGCAGCAAGCUGAAUCUAGAACCAGGUCCUCCCUACCACAAGCCAGCAUGCUUAUGCCUGCAACGUGAGUGCAUGUGUGUGACAGACAGGCCUGGGUCACCCCAGCAACUCAGUAGGAGGAGCAAAGGCCUCCCUGUCUUAAAAACCUGACCAUCUCCCUUCAGACCCCUUGCAGCGAGGACUUAACAUUACCUCCACUUAGUCCCUCUGGGAAGCACCCUAGGUUUCCUGAACUAUAAAUAUUGAAUCCUGAGAGAUUUCCCCUCAGAUGGAGGUGCAGCUCAUAAAGCCUAACACCCGUGCUAAGAGUGACCUGAAAGAAAAAAAAUCUAACUUUCUUGCCCCAAUCUUAAUGAGCCAAUGGGGCCUUCCAAGAGAGAAACCUUCCCAAGUGCAAAGCAUCAAGGUGUGAGUGGUGACUUCUGACCACCACAGAACCCCCAAAUCACCACACCUCUUGCUGCCAUGGCGGGAAGGGCUACCUCACCUUCUCACCCCAUUUCUCCAAAGAUGAGGUGGUCCCUGAGUCCACCAGCUGCUACUGGGCACCCAGCCUGCCGAGUCCAUGCCCUCCACACUGGCCCCAAUGUUGUCCUUUCAUCAUUUUUCCUCCUGAUGACCCAUUUUCUACCAAUCUGGAAGCUUUCAGUGGCUACAUUUCUCCUCUUAGCCCAACUGUGCAAUGGCCUACAGCCCUCUGUUCUCUGCCAUGUUCCCUGUGACCUGUCUCAAAGUCCUAGCACUCAUUCUUGGUUUCUAUGGCACUUUUUCAGGCUUAUCUCCUCACCUCUUCCAGCUACUCAUUCCCCCAAGGACAUCCCAUUCCUAAGAUCUUUGUCUAAAGCUAUUGGAGAUGUGACAGGAACUAGGUGAUUAGACAAGGUGAUAUUACCUUAGGUCCAUUGCCUCCCCUGCUUUGCUGCCUAUUCUUCCAUAAUUUUGCAACUUGAUUGUCAGUAACAUUGCCUAAAACUCUAUUCUUUAACGUCAAAUCUCAAGUGCUUCAUCUUACCACCUGCCCUCAUUUCUCUACAGCAUUUGACACUUUUGACAACGCCUCCCCCUCCAAACACACUUCCUUGAAAUUCCUUCCCCCUGGUUUUUGCAGCUUUCUCUGCAGCUUUUCUACCAUUUCUUUCUUUUACAGUCUGAUGACUUUCAAACCUUUCCUUCUGGAUGUUCUCAACCUCAACAUAUUUAAAGACAAAUUCAUAGUCUUCCUUUCAAAUUUACUUUCCUGUGUCUUGAAUGUCAUUACCAUCUCACAGCCUACCAUGCUGGAUACCAAAGUAUUUUCUUUGACUCUUCUCUAUUCUCAGACUACUCAUUCAAUUAUUUCCCAACUCCUGUUGAUUCUUCCUUCAAAACAUUUCCCAGCUCACACUAUCCUCUUCAUUACCACUCCAUUCUCUCCUUACUAACUCAUCUUGCCCAUCACUGAUGGGUUCGUCUCCUUAAAACACUCACCGGGCCUUUCCAACAUUGACUUCAACUUUCCACAUGAAACUAAAGUCCUUGUUCUAAAUUUUAAAUCCCUAAACAUGCCAGCCCUAUCCUCUUAGUCACCUAGGGUUCCCAUUAUGCUAAAGCAUUCUUUGCUGCAAACUACCUGUUAGAAACAAAAAACAAACAAACAAACAAACAAAAAAACCUCUCCUUGUUAUCUCUCCACCUUCAUGCAAAUGAACAUGAUUCGUUUGCUCUCACUGCCUACAGGUUGAUGGUACGUCUUCCUGCCUUAGAAACACUUUCCCUUCUCCUCCAUUUUGCCUCACCUUAAUCAUCCUGCAGGGCCCUGGUCUGGUCUCAGUUCCUCCUUCAUGUACCUGAUGACACACCUGGUCACCUUGAACUCCAGUUUCUUCUUGCUCUCACUGCUGAUACUUCUUCUAUUAAUAUAUAAGGCUAAUUAUUUUAUGAUGGGUGUAACUAUUCAAUUCAACAUAUGUUAAAGACAUACUUUAAUCAAGUCACCAAGCUGGAUAAUACAAUAGGUAGGAAGGAGAUACAGAGACAAUUAAAUCUACGUCACUGGCAGGUUUGAGGGCAGGGAGAAAGGUUUAGUCUUCCCAUAAUCUCCCUCAGCCACCCCCUCCACUCUUUAACAUGGCUAAUUUAUGUUCCUCAAUUUUAGGUAAAAUCUAUGGAGGCAUGGCUUUCCCAUCCAUCCAGAUGAAAAUUCUGGAAUCUCUCAGAUGAAAAUCUGGAAUCUCUCUUUUUCUGUUACAGACUGAAAAGGAAAAACUGUCAUUAUGUAGAGUAUUUUCACAGACCACAAUGCAAGACAUUAGAAAUCAACAACAAAAAGUGAACUACAAAAAAUAUCAAUACUUGUGUUAAAAUAAAAUAAGAUGGAGAGUAGCCUUAAAAAUCCUUUAAGCAGGGAGUUCCCAUUGUGACUCAGUGGUAAUAAACCCGACUAGCAGCCAUGAGGAUGUGGGCAGGUUUGGUCCCUGGCCUCGCUCAGUAGGUUAAGGUUCCAGCGUCGUUGUGGCUGUGGUGUAGGCUAAAGGCUACAGCUCCAAUUCUACCCCUGGCCUGGGAACUUCCACAUGCCACAGGUGCACCCCUGAAAAGACAAAAACAAACAACAAACAAACAAAACCUUCACACAAACAAGGCAAUUUAAACCAUGUAAGUAAAAUUAAAUCUAGCUUAUUUUUUAUUAAAUAAGUGAACUUUAACUUACAUUAUUUCUUGUAAAUCUCUCUGAUGAGCAUAACAGAAAUUUAAGUCACUUUCAAAAAAAUGGCACAAGAUAAUCACUUUUAAUCAAUUUCCUGCAUCUAGAAACUCCUAUUGUAAUAACUAAUCAUUGUAAAAGUUAAGCUGCUUCCUCACUUAUACUUUAUAAGCCAUCCUAUAAAGUUAUGCUUCUGAGUUUCAUGUCAGUCUUGAAAUUGAAAGCUCCCAGUUCAGGAGCUAUUCUUAUAUGUACAAUAAACUCUUAAAAAUACAAUUUUACUGAUCUAGUGGUUUUAAUUUUGCUACUUCUGG
ensembl:lncRNA